rnacentral:rRNA from 1 species
AGGGUUUGGAUCAUGGCUCAGGAUGAACGCUGGCGGCAUGGAUUAGGCAUGCAAGUCGAACGGUAAGGCCCUGCUUGCAGGGUACACGAGUGGCGAAAGGGUGAGUAACGCGUGAGUAACUUACCUCAAAGUUGGGGAUAGCCCCGGGAAACUGGGAUUAAUACCGAAUGUGGCGCUCCGGCUUUGGUCGGAGUUGCUAAAGGAGCAAUCCGCUUUGAGAUGGACUCGCGUCCCAUUAGCUUGUUGGUGAGGUAACGGCUCACCAAGGCGACGAUAGGUAGGUGGUCUGAGAGGAUGGUCACCCACACUGGGACUGAGACACUGCCCAGACUCCUACGGGAGGCUGCAGUCGAGAAUCUUCCGCAAUGCGCGAAAGCGUGACGGAGCGAUGCCGCGUGAGGGAUGAAGGAUUUCGGUUCGUAAACCUCUGUCACCCGGGACGAAGAAUUGACGGUACCGGGAGAGGAAGCCACGGCUAACUACGUGCCAGCAGCCGCGGUAAUACGUAGGUGGCAAGCGUUAUUCGGAUUUAUUGGGCGUAAAGGGUCCGCAGGGGGUCUGUCAAGUCUGAUGUGAAAGCCCAAGGCUCAACCUUGGAAACUGCAUUGGAAACUGGCGGACUAGAGUAUUGGAGAGGAGAGUGGAAUUCCUGGUGUAGCGGUGGAAUGCGUAGAUAUCAGGAGGAACACCGAAGGCGAAGGCAGCUCUCUGGACAAUUACUGACCCUCAUGGACGAAAGCUGGGGGAGCGAACAGGAUUAGAUACCCUGGUAGUCCCA